AACGAACGCUGGCGGCAUGGCUAAGACAUGCAAGUCGUACGGAUCACAGUAGCAAUAUUGUGGUUAGUGGCGGAAGGGUGAGUAAUGCAUGGGUAACGUACCCUGAACUCGGGGAUAACCGCGGGCGAAAGCCCUUUGCGAAAGUGCGGAUAAUACCCGAUGAAACCAGCAGAUCGCAUGGUCUGUUGUUCAAAGCCGGGGAUCGCAAGACCUGGCGGUUUGGGAGCGGCCCAUGUCCUAUCAGCUAGUUGGUGAGGUAAUGGCUCACCAAGGCUGCGACGGGUAGCCGGACUGAGAGGUUGGCCGGCCACAUCGGGACUGAGACACUGCCCGGACACCUACGGGUGGCUGCAGUAACGAAUCUUGGGCAAUGGGCGCAAGCCUGACCCAGCAAUGCCGC
rnacentral:rRNA from 1 species